CGUCGGAGUGGGGGAUGAGGAGGAGGAGGAGAAGAAGGGGGAGGAGGAGGAGAAGAAGAGGGGGGGUUGGUGGGGCUACGCUGUGUCUGGGCCAACACUUCGGCACAGACGAGAUGACCAUCGUGCAGCCUAGUGCGUAAAAGUUGGAUACUGAAGGUGGCGCUUGGACACUGUUGCAGACGCUUGGAUGCGCUGAAUGCGUAAUGCCCGUCUACGCGCCUGGCUAGUUCUCGAAAAAAAAAAUCGGAACCCCAGCGUUAUUUGUUAUCUUGGAUAUCAGCUCCCCUAAGAUGCAUCUAACCAAGUGUUGUUGUCCCAGCUAAUCUAUUUUGGUGACGUUUCUUUUCCUGUUUGUGUGUGUGUGCGCGCGCGCGUCUGUAUCAGAGGGAAAGAAGUAGGUCAGUAGUACAGUAUCUUUCCAGGUCGUUUUUUUUUUUUCUCUUUCCCAAAAGUAUUGCAUGUAACGUUGUAUUUGCACAUUUUAAUUAAGUAAGAAUAUGGGUCAAAUAAAUACAAGUGAGUAUAUGCUUGGAUUUAAAUAUGGAUUCAUGUGCAUGUGGUGAGUUAAAGCAUGCAAACACAGUUUGCCGAUUCUAAUUUGGAUCUGCAUCAUCGUAGCUCAAUUUUUGUCAUCGGCGUAUAUGAAACCAGGUAAACAAGGUAAAAUCAAAUCAUUUUCAAGACUUUAGGGAGAAUAGUCUCUGGACUGGCGAGAUGAAAGCUAAACUUCUCAAAGGUGUGCAUCAUUGUAACAGCAUUUCAGAAAAAGAUCAUACUUCAAACACACAUCCCACAUGAAGGGAGAAUA